rnacentral:rRNA from 1 species
AUUGAACGCUGGCGGCAGGCCUAACACAUGCAAGUCGAACGAAGCACCUUGAUUUGAUUCUUCGGAUGAAGAUUUUGGUGACUGAGUGGCGGACGGGUGAGUAACGCGUGGGUAACCUGCCUCAUACAGGGGGAUAACAGUUAGAAAUGACUGCUAAUACCGCAUGAGACCACAGCACCGCAUGGUGCAGGGGUAAAAACUCCGGUGGUAUGAGAUGGACCCGCGUCUGAUUAGGUAGUUGGUGGGGUAACGGCCUACCAAGCCGACGAUCAGUAGCCGACCUGAGAGGGUGACCGGCCACAUUGGGACUGAGACACGGCCCAA